rnacentral:rRNA from 1 species
GACGUAGGGCGCGAGCGUUGUCCGGAAUUAUUGGGCGUAAAGAGCUCGUAGGCGGUUUGUCGCGUCUGCUGUGAAAUCCCGAGGCUCAACCUCGGGCUUGUAGUGGGUACGGGCAGACUAGAGUGCGGUAGGGGAGAUUGGAAUUCCUGGUGUAGCGGUGGAAUGCGCAGAUAUCGGAAGGAACACCAGUGGCGAAAGCGGCUUCCUGGUCCAGCACCGACGUUCAGGCACGAAAGCGUGGGGAGCAAACAGG